rnacentral:rRNA from 1 species
ACGGGAGGCAGCAGUGGGGGAUAUUGCACAAUGGGCGCAAGCCUGAUGCAGCGACGCCGCGUGAGUGAAGAAGUAUUUCGGUAUGUAAAGCUCUAUCAGCAGGGAAGAAAAUGACGGUACCUGACUAAGAAGCUCCGGCUAAAUACGUGCCAGCAGCCGCGGUAAUACGUAUGGAGCAAGCGUUAUCUGGAUUUACUGGGUGUAAAGGGAGCGUAGGCGGUGAUGCAAGUCAGAAGUGAAAACCCGGGGCUCAACCCCGUGAUUGCCUUUGGAACUGUAGGACUUGAGUACUGGAGGGGCAGGCGGAAUUCCUGGUGUAGCGGUGAAAUGCGUAGAUAUCAGGAGGAACACCGGUGGCGAAGGCGGCCUGCUGGACAGAAACUGACGCUGAGGCUCGAAAGCGUGGGGAGCAAACAGGAUUAGAUACCCUGGUA